rnacentral:rRNA from 1 species
AAUUCGACGCAACGCGCAGACUUACCUGGGCUUGACAUCCCGAUCGCACUUUCUGGAAACAGAGAGGUCAGUUCGGCUGGAUCGGUGACAGGUGCUGCAUGGCUGUCGUCAGCUCGUGUCGUGAGAUGUUGGGUUAAGUCCCGCAACGAGCGCAACCCUCGUCCUUAGUUGCCAGCAUUAAGUUGGGCACUCUAAGGAGACUGCCGGUGUUAAACCGGAGGAAGGCGGGGAUGACGUCAAGUCCUCAUGGCCCUUAUGUCCAGGGCUACACACGUGCUACAAUGGCCGGUACAAAGGGUAGCAAGACCGCGAGGUGGAGCCAAUCCCAAAAAGCCGGUCUCAGUUCGGAUUGGAGUCUGCAACUCGACUCCAUGAAGUUGGAAUCGCUAGUAAUCGUGGAUCAGCAUGCCACGGUGAAUACGUUCCCGGGCCUU